CUACGUGCCAGCAGCCGCGGUAAUACGGAGGGUGCGAGCGUUAAUCGGAAUAACUGGGCGUAAAGGGCACGCAGGCGGUGACUUAAGUGAGGUGUGAAAGCCCCGGGCUUAACCUGGGAAUUGCAUUUCAUACUGGGUCGCUAGAGUACUUUAGGGAGGGGUAGAAUUCCACGUGUAGCGGUGAAAUGCGUAGAGAUGUGGAGGAAUACCGAAGGCGAAGGCAGCCCCUUGGGAAUGUACUGACGCCCAUGUGCGAAAGCGUGGGGAGCAAACAGGAUUAGAUACCCUGGUAGUCCACGCUGUAAACGAUGUCGAUUUGGGGGUUGAGCUUUGAGCUUGGCGCCCGUAGCUAACGUGAUAAAUCGACCGCCUGGGGAGUACGGCCGCAAGGUUAAAACUCAAAUGAAUUGACGGGGGCCCGCACAAGCGGUGGAGCAUGUGGUUUAAUUCGAUGCAACGCGAAGAACCUUACCUACUCUUGACAUCCAGA
rnacentral:rRNA from 1 species